GGAACGGUGUCCGAGUGGUUGAAGGAGCACGCCUGGAAAGCGUGUAUAGGGGCAACUCUAUCGAGGGUUCGAAUCCCUCUCGUUCCG
rnacentral:tRNA from 1 species